UUUUCUCUGACUAUAAGGCUUAAGUUAUCUAUAUUUUUUAGUACGCAAUUGAUUAAAAAACACAAAUAUAUGACAAAUAUUGAUCAAUCAUUGUUAAACAUUAAAAGUAGUGCUUUGUUUAGAAAUCUACCUUUUAGUGAGAUAGAUGGGGCUUUUAAAAAAUUAGUUGAUUUAUCUAUGAUGAAUAUUUGUUAUUGCCAGAAUGAGAGAAGAAUCAUCUUCAAUGUUAUCUGAUUUAUUAUUUGUUCUAGCUGUAAGCUUCAAGGAACUUCAAUCACAGAAAUAAGUAAUGAUACUGGAAGAAACUCUUUUAGGCAAUGUAACUCAAUUCUUCGAAUAAUUUCUGAGUUAUUUGCCAAAAAUGACCUCGUGCUCUUUCAGUUUUUUUUUUUUGAUGAUAAGUGGACGUCUGGCUUAGUUUUGCUUCAAUGGUGUUGACAGCAAGAGAAAGCCACCUGAUGUGCAGAAGGAUUUGGUACCCAGUCAUUAGUCAUUCACUUUCCCAGCACAGAUACCCAUAUUUAAAAUUGUCCCUAUGAUGGACUUCCCACAGAUUUCCAUGCCCCAAACAGUGCACAUUUGUAACCUUCGAUUGUGUGGCAAGUAAACUCUUCUUUUUUAAUGGGAGAAAAAGGGCUUGGAUAAAGAAAGAUGGGAACAGAGUACUAUAACAACACAACGCAGCACAGCACAACAAACACAGCAUAACAUAAUGUAACUUAUUGUAACAUAAUAUAACACAAAGUAACAUACCAGCGUGUAACAGUUGCCCAGAGAUUUCCAAGGCUAUCCAGUUUAUCAGUUUUAGAAGUUACCAAGAUUGUCAGUUUUAGAAAUGAAUACAAAUGGAAUAUGAAGAUACAAAGAAAGUUGAUUCCCCUAAAAUUAUUUGAAUCUAUACCUAUCCCUUGAAAACUGUUUGUACACCCUAGGUUGAAAUCACUCGUUUAUCCCAAAAGCCAGUCUGUGAUGGAGCUUUCCAUAAGCCUGAUGCCAAAUUAGGUUGUGGCAGUAGGGGAAAGUGUUGAAUUUACUGAGUUUAAAUAACGCUUCCUUAUUUUUCUAUAAUGUCUUCUGCAUCAGGGAAAAAAAAAAAGAUGAUGCUGGGAGGUGUUAAUAGUGAUUUUGAAAGCCCGUGCUAUGUUCUUCCUCAUUUAUUAUGCUUUCGAAAUUGUGCCGGUUAGGAAAGCCUGAAUUAGGCUGAGGUGGUAAACAACCCCAGAUCUCAGUGACUUGAGAACAACUUUUAUUUCUGCUCAUGCGACAUGCUCACUGCAGGAUGGCUCCGUCUCUGCUCCUUGCAGAGACCCUGGCAGAGCGGCCCCGCUCUGGGACACGGGGUUUCCUGGCAGAGGAAACAACAGACAUGGAAGACCAUGAGCAACCUCUGAAAACUUCCGCUCUGUGGGGACACACACCACUCCCAUACACAUUUCUUUGGAAAAAGCAAGCUCAUGGCCUCUGCCGAGUCCAGCACAGUGAGGAUGCACAAACGUCCUCCAGGAAGCGGCAGCAGACGUUCGAUGACGUUACAACCUCCCGCACCCGUGAAAACUCAAAGUCUAGGAACCGUUGAUUUAUGGUAAACAGGUAGUAGUCAUUUUCUAAAGUUAUUACGUUAAAAUAUUUAUUUUAAUUUUAAGAUUACCAAGUAUUUGUAACAUACAGAAAAGUAUAGAGAUUAAUAUAACAAAGACGCAAGGACUCACAUCCCAGAAUUACCACUGUUACCAUGUGCCAUACUGACUUCAGAUCCCUUUGUUAAAGAGGAAACUAAACAUCGUAGGUGCAGUCCAGGCACUCCUGCCAAUCCCUUCUCAUUUAAACUCUCACCUUUCUCGAAGUAACCCUAGUCUGAUGCUAGAAUAAAUAAUUUUAUGUUUAUUCUUUCAUAUUGUAUUACAAAAGUGCUUUAAAAAUAUGUGUAAUGUAAAAUGUACAUAUCUUUCUACAACUUACUUUUCCCAUUCAACAUUAUAUGUUUUAGAUAUAUCCAUGUUGAUGUAUGUAGAUCUGGUUAUUGCAUCAAAGCAUUCAAUAGUAGUAUGUGAUAUGAAUAGAUCACAAUUUAUCCAUGGAGUUGGAACUUUAGUCUGUGUAUAGCUUUUUGUUGUUACAAACAAUUGGACAAUAAACACCUUUAUAUACGUAGAAGACGAGUUUUUCUAAAGUUUAUGCCUUUGAAAUGAUUGAAAUACUUUACCAUAGUGGCCUUGCACGGUUGAAAAAGGUAACUGCUUUGCACACCAAGGUGAAGCUUUACAAAUGGCGGCUCCAAAGGGACCGAUUGAACACGACAUGAGACUGUAUCCUGGUCUUACCUGAAACCAUCCUGGCAGAGAAAAUCAGAGACAACCUCAUGAGACUUUCCUGGGCCCCUGAGUUGUGCAUAAAGCAGUUGAAAGAUCAUCAUCCUACAAAACUAACGGUGUUCCUAGGGGCUGCAAGGAGUGUGGUAAACGUGGGGCUGAGGAGCAGCACACUCGGAGACACCUUGUGGUUGGAUGAGGAAGGCCCAGCGGGGGAUGCCGGGGGUGGACUUGGUGUGCGAGGAAGUCAAAAGGGAUGAUAGGGACUGAAGAGCAGAAGGAAAAGGGGACAUCUCAGCCGAUGUCAAUGAACAGAUGAGGACUGAGGACCAGUUGUCCUUCCCCACGCCCUGACGCAGGUGACUGCGGGGAGAGGGGGUGGAGUUGUAUUGAACUUGCUAUUGCUAGCCAGCGUCCAUUUCCUGCUUUUCCUGUUCUAACAGAACACAAAUUUUGUUCAGGUGUCAACCUCUCCCCGACAGAGCCCAGGUGCUUCAGUUUCGGGGAUAAGGCUAAGUGGAGUAAAGGUAGUCCUAUAUCCCUUGCCAGUAAUUGUUCUAGAAAUGGCCAUGGAAGGCAAUUUGGGCCGAGAAGAACAGAGGAGAGAUUUUCCAGGGCACUCUGAGAAAGUUCUCUCUUACUCCUCUGGAAGAACUUCCGAAGAAUUGUUUUUUCUCUUCCUUUCAAGUUGGAUAGUGUGGCUGUAAUUGCUGCAGCCUGUGGAUAAAAGUGACAUAUGGAGUAAGCAGAACGGAAGGGAUGGGAGCGAAAACAAGCUGGAGUCAUCAUCCCACUCUGUGCUGCUGGUUAUGUGAGCCAACUAGGCCCCUGGUCGCUUCUACCUGUUUGAAUUAUGUUUUUAAUACUUGCUACGAAAAGUGCUGCUUCUAGAGAGUGGCAGGAAGUGUCCGUGUGUGGGAGAGGGGAGCUGAACUGAUAGAUCUUAUUCUGAAUUGACAGAUCAAUUUCAGCCACAAGGCAGAAUGAGAGCCUAAAAUAGAAAUUAACUUCAAUCACAAAAUAUAUGCAAGAAGUCCUUGCUUUCUACAGUUCUGAUAUGCACACAUGUCAGUUACCGUGUUUAGUUAAAUAACACCAGUCUCCAAUAACAUGGCUCAAAUUUCAGUUACUAUGAUGUAAUACAUUAAGUGUAUGUAAUUCAUACAAAUACAAACUUCACUGCUUCCGUCCACAAACGCUGCAUAAAUAACAGAUGCCCAUUGUGACCAGUGACCAAUCACAUCACUUCUUUCAUAGUCCGCUGUCCAUGCACAAAGUCUGUCUACUCAUGUGGGUAGCAAAGCACAUAGUCAUGUUGUCACUGUGUUUCCUGAUGACACACACAGUAUUUUAAUAAAAUGAAUACUUGAAAGACAGAAUUGGCCAAGAAACAUGAAAUGAAGCAAAGAAACAAAAACUGAUAAUGCUGGAGGUGAAGUUUGAAGCAAACAUAAACGUAGAGAAUUUAUGAAAGAGAAGAGAGAGUUGAUGGUGAGGAUGUUGACACCGGCACCCGUGAGAGACCCGAGAUGCACGGUCAGACGAGCUUAAUGGAGGUGAACUGAUCACCACACGUGAGGAAAGUGAUUGUGAUGAAAGUCUGAAGAGGCCCCGGAGAAAGUCCUGCCUGCAGAACCUUCAUGUUAAAGGAAAUCUUAGAGCUAUUUCUUGGAAUUGAAUGUGCGAAGGGUCACAUUUGGAAGCUGACCCAAACUUAGAACGGAGUAUAAUCAUCCAUCAGGACACAGGAAAGACGGUCUGUGCUCAGAAUAAUUUAUACAGCGAAGAAGAUUACCCACUUUAUUUGACUCUGAAUAUCUAUGAACAAUCGAGCUCUUCAGGGCCCAGUUGGGGAAAGACUGGACGCUUGGAGAGAAGUGCCAGUCAAACUGAAGGCUGCCAGCGGGCUAUUGACAAAAAAGGAUUUAGAUCGGAGAGAACGGAAAGAAGAAAAUUUCAGAAAAUUUAGCUUUAGGUACGAUUUCUUAAUUUCAGAAGCAUUUUCAGGACAGAAAGAUGUCAAGCUAAUCAAAUUGAUCUUAACACUUCAAACACAUCAAUAUCUAUCAAAAAUUACUUUUAUAAGGAUGAGAUAUUAAGUGCCAUAACAGUCAGCUAGGAAAACGCAAAUCUUGGACAACAAAAACUUCUGACUGUUUUACCCAGAUGUAAAUGGUGAGCUGCGACACUAAGUUAUGGUAAAUGCUGCAUUCCUAAGAACGGAUAGAGCAGGAGGCUCGCUAACCAGUUACACGACCACGGAAGCCCUUCACCCAUAAGGCCUUGAAAGAGCCUUGAAGGGGUUGAGCAAAUGGAAGGAGAAAUGGGUUUUGUGGACAUUUCUUUGGAGAGUUAUGCUGUGGUGCCUCCCUGGAGCCACUGAGGGGAGGGAGGGUGCUGCUCGCCUCAUUUCUUGCCUGCAGUUGGAGAGAGUUCUGGUGUGUGACUCUGGUCUGGGGUGCCUGGCGGUUGUGGGGGGGCUAGCAGCUUUGGCAGGGGAGGGAGGGAGAGGCUGCUGGGAGUUUGGCUGGGCCUUCUGGCCAAGAAUCGGGGCAAAGGGCACUGGAUGCAGGCUUGUGGCAGAUAGAGCCAGCCUGGACUGUUCUAAAUCCCGCCCAAGAGUCUGUGUGGAGUGGACUGCGGGAAAACCAGAUUCUGAGAGAGAAGAGCAGCUGGAGGAAAACGCACUGCUCGCAUCACAGGAAAUUCAGGCAAAUGUUGCCAACCUGAGGCCUCUGAAGAACUGGCCACGCAAAACAGCUCAAACGUGGGCCAGUCCCGCGGUAUGAGAAGCCCGCUUACGGCAGUGCCUGUUAACCCCCUGAUAUCCUCUGCCCUUGCCUCUCCCACCGCCUGCUUUGACCUUGCUGGGGCUAGAAGUCCAGGCAAGCACGUGAGGAAGGAGAAGUGCUUAGCAAAGAGGCAAAGGAGCCCGCCUUCUCUCAUCCUGUGACCUAGGUGGUGAAGUUUUAAAUGCUCUUUCCACACAAUGAAUUGAGAUUGUCUUUGUAACUGAAAAUGAGUGAGAAGUUCUCUUACAGUAACCAGAUAAACCACAGCACCUAACUUAACGCUCAUCCGAGGGCCGGUGUGUCACCCCCAUCGACCAGGCUUACAGGGACACUCGGGGGCAAAACAAAGCUGCUUUCAUGAUUACCCCACAAGUCUGCUUGGAGGUUCUUUAAAUAAUGAGGGUGAACGAGAGAAUCCGGCUUUGAAUGAAAGGUGGGCAUUGGCUAGACUGAGAGGCGUUUCACCUUGCUGAUAGCAUGAGACGUCAGGGAGGUGGUCUGCAUUCACCUGUGAUUCUUAUAUUGGAUAAGUAUCAGAAUCAUCUGGAAGCCGCAAACCGCAGGAGUUUCUCACUCAGGUGGAAACCAGCAGGUCAACAGCACGGCCCUCAACCCUCCCAAGCGCCCAUGUGAUGCGGAUACAGGGCUGGCAUCUGGGAACCACCCGGAGGUCUCAGUGGAGAUCUGAUUUGGGCUUAUGAGGGUCUGGCUGGCUGUGCUGCACCUGUUAGGGUUUUAUUGAAAAUGGCACACAGAGAGAGUCCACCAACGAACACGGCCUGCGUCUUAUUAAAUGAAUUCGUUUUUAUUACUAUUUAUAAAGCUUAAGAUUUUUCUAAAAGAAAAAAAUCAGUUUACAUGUAGUAAAGUUACAAGUAGACAGCUAUAGAUAAUAUAGCUGUUAGGAAAAAAAAGAACUAAAUAACAGGAAAAAAGCAGUAUG